UCGAGGAUCAUUCGCAAUGCGCGAAAGCGUGACGAUGCGACGCUGCGUGGAGGACGACGGCCUUCGGGUUGUAAACUCCUGUCAUGAGGGACAAGACGGCCCCCGCGAACACCGGGGGCCACCGAUGGUACCUCAAGAGGAAGCCACGGCUAACUCUGUGCCAGCAGCCGCGGUAAUACAGAGGUGGCGAGCGUUGUUCGGAUUUACUGGGCGUAAAGCGUGCGUAGGCGGUCCUGCGUGUCGGACGUGAAAUCCCGGGGCUCACCCCCGGAAGUGCGUACGAAACUGCGGGACUUGGGUCCGGGAUGGGAUGUCGGAAUGCAGGGUGUAGCGGUGAAAUGCGUUGAUAUCCUGCAGAACACCGGUGGCGAAGGCGGACAUCUGGAACGGCACCGACGCUGAGGCACGAAAGCGUGGGGAGCAAACAGG
rnacentral:rRNA from 1 species